rnacentral:ncRNA from 1 species
AAAGCGGAUGCCGAAAAGCUCAUAGAGUAGGCU